GCCUUUUCCAAUCAAACAGUUGUUUUCUUUUAAAGCCGUACAUAGUUGGAAAAGUUUAACGCUGUUCUCUUAUGAUUGGAUGCUAAUAUCAGGUAUAAACGUGGUCAACGUCGUCAUAUAUUGAAGAACCAGUGGCCAGUUUUCAAUAAGGCAUGACAUUGAUUCAGUGAUGCGUGUUAAACGUGAUGCUAUGUAACCUGUCAGUGGUCCUGGUGUGGUGAGGAUUGUCCGUUUUUCUGCUAAACUGACUCGACUUUUGCUCAUUCAAUUGGAAAAAUGGCCAUCUGUCAAACCCCAUACACCAGAUACCAGGAGUUAGGGGGGGGUGUGUGCAACAACUUGAUGACAUGGCGAUCCAUAACCUUGUGUAACCUCAUGUAUGUCUGUUUCUGUAAUUAGGCCUUGUCGGUAAAUGUACAGCCCUUAGCAAGGGCAGAAAAUGAGGCAAACAUCCUGCUGGCCUAGAGAAUGUGAAGAAAGUGCAGACGUUUACAGAUCCCAGCUGAUACAAUUAAAGGAGAAAUCAAUGGAGCGGCCGACUUCAAUAAAUAUAGGCCAAACAACAGAAGAAAACCUGCCAUGAUGUGUUUAACAAAUGCUGUGGGAGAAAAGGAAAAAAGACAAGAUUAUCGAUACUGCAAAGCAAAGACAGAUCAGAGGCAAAUAUGGAGACCUUCAUAGUUGACACAGCCGUUUGCAUCUUCCUGUCCUGCCAUCAGCUGUUCUACCUCUGAUUCCGUCAUCUUCUCACCUGCAGGCAAGACAUGUGAUACUCCGUGGGCGCUUGUUUCAGGUGGUGUUAA